ACUGCCCCUUGAGGCGUUGCAGUCUGACUGUAAGUGUCGAGCCUGUGUCAUGAGGGGCAGAGUGAUUGCAUGUCUACUCCAACAACCCAGAACAGUGGGCGAUUGAAAGCUUCGACAUG
rnacentral:snoRNA from 1 species